AAUAUACAGAAAUGCGCGAGGCGGUGGUUGGUUUUCGUUUCUUCUUGGUGGUUGUGGGCAUGCAGUGGAAUUGUUGAGAGUGCGUGUGUGAGCUAUGGACAGUGUUGACUUCUGAGUGUGGUCUUCCAGGCGACAGGUUGUGUGUCCCAAGUGUGAUGGUGCUUGUGCUGUUCGGUGUAUAGAUUUGGAUUCUCCGAGGCCCUUCUGCGUUUUCAUCGUUGUAGAUACAAUUAUGCUCGUUUGCCUUCUCGACAUACCGCCCAGGACCACACCGCGGCCUAACUGGCCUAACUGCCGGGCUCUCGGUGAGAGACGGGGAGAGCAAAGACCCCGGUCCACAACCUGGACCUCGACUCCCACCUCUCUCUGGCCGGAGGAGUGGAGAUCCUAUUCAGAGGGGCCCGUCUCUCUAAAUAUGCCCCAGGAUGACGGAGCAGCCGCCGAGCGAGGCGGCACAC
rnacentral:lncRNA from 1 species